CAGUAGCCGCGGUAAUACGUAGGUGGCAAGCGUUGUCCGGAAUUAUUGGGCGUAAAGGGCUCGCAGGCGGUUUCUUAAGUCUGAUGUGAAAGCCCCCGGCUCAACCGGGGAGGGUCAUUGGAAACUGGGAAACUUGAGUGCAGAAGAGGAGAGUGGAAUUCCACGUGUAGCGGUGAAAUGCGUAGAGACGUGGAGGAACACCAGUGGCGAAGGCGACUCUCUGGUCUGCAACUGACGCCGAGGAGCGAAAGUGUGGGGAGCGAACAGGAUUAGAUACCCCAGUAGUCCCUGUCUCUUAUAU
rnacentral:rRNA from 1 species